rnacentral:lncRNA from 1 species
CCUUAUUCUGUUAGGACCAAAACUCCCAAAAUCAAUACCAACCUUCCUUUUAUGGUCAUAAACCUUGUGUUUAAAUUUCAUAGAUUUCUAUUUACUUAUACUAACGUUAUGGUGCGAAAACCAAGAAAAAUGCUUAUUUGGGUCUCUUUUUGGCCCCUAAUUCCUAAACUGUUGGGACCUAAACUCCCAAAAUCAAUACCAACCUUCCUUUUGUAGUCAUUAACAUUGUGUUUAAAUUUCAUUGAUUUCUAUUUACUUAAACUAAAGUUAUUGUGCGAAAACCAAGAAUAAUGCUUAUUUGGGCCCUUUUUUGGCCCCUAAUUCCUAAACUGUUGAAACCAAAACUCCCAAAAUCAAUCCCAACCGUUCUUUUGUGGUCAUAAACCUUGUGUCAAAAUUUCAUAGAUUUCUAUUAACUCAAACUAAAGUUAUAGUGCGAAAACCAAGAAAAUGCUUAUUUGGGCCCUUUUUGGCCCCUAAUUCCUAAAAUGUUGG